rnacentral:lncRNA from 1 species
GUACUCCGUAGAACGAACCAACUUCUCUCCUUUUUUUUGGAUCCCUAAAGCUAUUUAAUUUUUUUCUAUUUUUUUCUACACUUUCUACUCAAUUUUUUUACUCUCAAAGCUUAUUCCCAAACUCCCUAUUUAUAAAUGAAUUUUUCAUAAUUUUUUGAUAGGAAAAGAAGUCCUAAAACCCUUAGAAAUUAUAUUAAUCCCCUUAAGAAUAUUCUUGACCGUCGGAUGGAGCUUGAACCGCCCAGAUCUAUCCAAAAUUCAUAGUUUUAAUCCUUAUCAAAGUCGGAUCGAACCACAGCCAUUCAAUCGCACCUGGGAUUAGUUUUGGACUAUCGGAUUGUGCUGAUAAUCUCUUAUUCUCAGUCGGGAGCAUCCUCAGCCAUCGGAUCUCAUGAUGGAUUCAUUUUCGAUCGUUCGAUCGCAUAAAAAAUCCUCUUAUAAACCGACAACAAACAGCAGCCGUUGGAUCGAUCUUCAGAUUAAAUCUCAACCAUUGGAUGGUGCAAAAUAGCUUCCGCUGUCCAUAGACCACACCUGUAGACCGCAUAGCAUUUUUAGUGGACCGUGCCCUGGCUCUGUGGAUCGAGCGACUAGUCCACC